rnacentral:ncRNA from 2 species
AAUUGAAUAUAAGCGCCAGAACUGUUUUACAGUUGACGAGGGUGGGGUUAAUCGAAAAUUCGGCGGGUGCCCCACGGUGUAAUCAACACCGGAAAUGUCAUACAAAACCAUAAAGUGAUUUGUGGAACAAAGUUGACAGGUUGAUUCAA